rnacentral:rRNA from 1 species
UACAGAGGUCUCAAGCGUUGUUCGGAUUCAUUGGGCGUAAAGGGUGCGUAGGCGGCCCCCUUUUGUCGCGUGUGAAAGCCCCGGGCUCAACCUGGGAACGGCGCGCGAAACGGGGGGGCUUGAGUUCGGGAGAGGAGAGUGGAAUUCCCAGUGUAGAGGUGAAAUUCGUAGAUAUUGGGAAGAACACCGGUGGCGAAGGCGGCUCUCUGGACCGAGACUGACGCUGAGGCGCGAAAGCGUGGGGAGCAAACAGG